rnacentral:pre_miRNA from 1 species
CUUAUACUCCCUCCGUCCAAAAAUACUUGUCAUCAAAAUGAACAAAAAGGGAUGUAUCUAGAACUAAAAUACAUCUAGAUACAUCCCCUUUUAUUUAUUUUAAUGACAAGUAUUUCCGGACGGAGGGAGUAUUUA